rnacentral:rRNA from 1 species
UACGUAGGGUGCGAGCGUUAAUCGGAAUUACUGGGCGUAAAGCGUGCGCAGGCGGUUUUGUAAGACAGAUGUGAAAUCCCCGGGCUCAACCUGGGAACUGCAUUUGUGACUGCAUAGCUAGAGUACGGUAGAGGGGGAUGGAAUUCCGCGUGUAGCAGUGAAAUGCGUAGAUAUGCGGAGGAACACCGAUGGCGAAGGCAAUCCCCUGGACCUGUACCGACGCUCAUGCACGAAAGCGUGGGGGGCAAACAGG